UUAAUUCAAAUUUGUAUGGAGUGGGAAUGCUUGCCUACGUUUGAAUCUACGGGCGCUGUUCCAACUACAUACAAAUUUUAGUUC
rfam:Bombyx mori DNA, contig: Bm_scaf35_contig21240, strain: p50T/Dazao, build 2, whole genome shotgun sequence.